rnacentral:lncRNA from 14 species
AGCAUUUUCAACCAAAGGAGCAGAGAAUAUAUCUGGUUCAUAACUGCCUGGUGCUGAAGAUGUUCUCCAGAGAAGCUGGAGGAUGUGGUCUGAAACAUUGUCAUGCAGAGGAGAGAAUUUGAGCCUGUCUCUUCCAUGUUCCGGUUGAGAAGACUAAUCAGAUUUGUACUGAGAGUUACAGUGUGAGAAGAAGGGAGGAUUAGUGGUUGGAGCAUUGUCUCAUGAAAUCUGAAAUGCUAUUGCCUACUGAUGCUGACAGAUGCCAUAAGAAAGAAGGCCCACCUGGACAAGUUCCUAUGUGAUGUACUUCAGGUUUCCCUGCUCUUGCAGGGGGGUUGGACUAGAUGAUCUUUCGAGGUCCCUUCCAACCCUUGGGAUUCUGUGAUUCUGUGACAUGGCAGCUAUAGGGAAAAAACUGUGAAGGUCUUAGCAGUCUAUUUUAUUCAGCUGAUGAGGCUGAGCUGAGGAAAAAGAAUGCUCCAGUUGAGUAGCCUCAUACCUUAUAUGAAGCAUGUUUCGAAAUACUGAUACUAGAAACAGACCCACACUUGAUGAACUCCAGAUGAUUCCACUGAUGUUAAUACAGAGAGAAAAACCCAGUGUCUUCCCUCCUCUAUCCCUUACCCUGCUAGAGGUAACAUAUAAAUGCCAGAUUGUUAGAGGUUCUCAUAUGUUACCGCCUGGUAAGGAGCUGGUGACUGUUACAAGAAGAUGUCUCUUUCAGCCUGGAAAUGACCAGAAGUUUCUGUGUAAAGAAGUGGGUCAACUUCUUUUAUCUACUGGAUAUUGUAUCGAAUAUGUAACUGUACAAGAGUGCUGCAGUAACUUGACUUCAGGAAGUGCCACAACUGAGGAAAUGAAAAGCUGAAUAUGAACCAGGACUGAUUCAGAGCUUUAAAGAAGAGAUUCAGAGCAGCCCUGCAGAAAAGGACUUGGGUGUGUUGGUCGAUGAGAAAAUGAACAUGAGCCGGCUUCAGUGUGUGCUCACAGCCCAUAAAGCAACCGUAUCCUGGGCUGAAUUAAAAGGAGCGUGACCAGCAGGUCAAAGGAGGUGAUCC